rnacentral:rRNA from 1 species
UACGGAGGGUGCGAGCGUUGUCCGGAAUCACUGGGCGUAAAGGGCGCGUAGGCGGCCUGAUAAGUAGGGGGUGAAAUCCUGCGGCUUAACCGCAGGGCUGCCUUCUAGACUGUCAGGCUAGAGCACAGUAGAGGCAGGUGGAAUUCCCGGUGUAGCGGUGGAAUGCGUAGAGAUCGGGAAGAACACACGUGGCGAAGGCGGUUCUCUGGGACGGUACUGACGCUGAGACGCGAAAGCGUGGGGAGCGAACAGG